UACAGAGGGUGCGAGCGUUAAUCGGAAUUACUGGGCGUAAAGCGUGCGUAGACGGUUAUUUAAGUCGGGUGUGAAAGCCCCGGGCUCAACCUGGGAAUUGCAUUCGAGACUGAAUAGCUAGGGUACGGUAGAGGGAAGUGGAAUUUCCGGUGUAGCGGUGAAAUGCGUAGAUAUCGGAAGGAACAUCAGUGGCGAAGGCGACACGCUGGGCCGUACCUGACACUGAUGCGCGACAGCAUGGGGAGCAAACAGG
rnacentral:rRNA from 1 species